rnacentral:rRNA from 1 species
ACUUCAGGAAACUGGGGCUAAUACCGGAUAGGAGCUCCUGCUGCAUGGUGGGGGCUGGAAAGUUUCGGCGGUUGCGGAUGGACUCGCGGCCUAUCAGCUUGUUGGUGGGGUAGCGGCCUACCAAGGCGGCGACGGGUAGCCGGCCUGAGAGGGUGACCGGCCACAUUGGGACUGAGAUACGGCCCAG